rnacentral:rRNA from 1 species
UGGGGAAUCUUCCGCAAUGGGCGAAAGCCUGACGGAGCAACGCCGCGUGAGUGAAGACGGCCUUCGGGUUGUAAAACUCUGUGAUUCGGGACGAAAGAUAAGCAGACGAAUAAUCUGCAUAAGUGACGGUACCGAAAAAGCAAGCCACGGCUAACUACGUGCCAGCAGCCGCGGUAAUACGUAGGUGGCAAGCGUUGUCCGGAAUUAUUGGGCGUAAAGCGCGCGCAGGCGGCUACUUAAGUCCAUCUUAAAAGUGCGGGGCUUAACCCCGUGAUGGGAUGGAAACUGAGAAGCUGGAGUGUCGGAGAGGAAAGUGGAAUUCCUAGUGUAGCGGUGAAAUGCGUAGAGAUUAGGAAGAACACCGGUGGCGUAGGCGACUUUCUGGACGACAACUGACGCUUAGGCGCGAAAGCGUGGGGAGCAAACAGG